rnacentral:rRNA from 1 species
AUUGAACGCUGGCGGCAGGCUUAACACAUGCAAGUCGAACGAGUGGCGGACGGGUGAGUAAUGCUUGGGACUCUCGCUUAUGGAGGGGGAUAACUACGGGAAACUGUAGCUAAUACCGCGUACCAUAGUAUGAGCCCAUGUGGGAUUAGGUAGUUGGUGAGGUAAAGGCACACCAAGCCGACGAUCUCUAGCUGGUCUGAGAGGAUGACCAGCAACACGGGGACUGAGACACGGCCCAGACUCCUACGGGAGGCAGCAGUGGGGAAUAUUGCGCAAGUGGGGCAACCUGACGCAGCCAUGCCGCGUGAAUGAAGAAGGCCUUCGGGUUGUAAAGUUCUUUCGGUAGCGAGGCGUUAACUACAGAAGAAGCACCGGCUAACUCCGUGCCAGCAGCCGCGGUAAUAC